UAAGGGACGGCUUCCGUCGUCGACUGUGUCUGCUGAAGUCCCCCCUCCCCUUCCUCCCUCUGCCGUUGUCGCGGACCAAUUCUGCGGCGGGGUGCUUGUCCCCGAGAAAAGCUCCAUCCACACCUCGUCCGUCACAUGUCGAUUGAUCCUGUGCUCCUUCUUGCAGCCGGGGUUCCAGUUGCAGCGCAGAUUAACAUAUCCGCUGUGCUGGACGUAGGCGAUCCGGAGCGUGCGCAUGGCGAUGACGUUGUCGUGUAGCGGCGCAUCGACGUGCCAUGCCUGUAAGAAGCCAGAGCGAUGCGCGUGGAGGAAGCCGAUGGUGCGGGGAAGGUUAUCGUAGUUGUCGAUGAUGUAGGAGAGGUACGCCAUGGAUUCGCGACCUUUGUUUCUUGGGACCGUGAGGGCAUUAGGAUCGUUGAGCGUCUUCUGAGAGGGGUUUACGACAUAUAUCGCUCGUUGCCAGCUGUUUGUUUUGUCCGUCGACGGGGGUGGUAUAUGGGUUAGCUGUGGUAUAUUGGAUUGUUCAUGGUUUGGGAUCGAUUGAAGGCUUUUCCAGUCAAUAGUGAAAGGAGGGGAGUGACAUACUCUGGAAGCUCAUCCUGUACCCAAUCGGUAUCCUCCUCCUCCAGCUUUGCCAUGACAAUGAUUUUAUCACCCACCUCGACAUUGAAGGGGUUUGUUGCGUCACUGGGCAAAUCGAGGGAUAAAGAAUGGAAACGCGUGAUAAUGGAAUCAAUCAAGUAUAAACCCCCGCUAUAUUGAUCUAGGAUAUCUGCCAACACACGCACGAGAAACAACAGGGCAAUGACGAGAAUGAAACAAUAUAGCCUGACAGCGAUACGGAAGUUGCAUUUCAUUGUUCGAAAUGAGAGGUCCAGGGGCGAAGUUGGCGCUGGGUCAAUUUUCGUGAUAUGCGCGACAGGAAAUAUUGCGCAGGGAAACACGGCCCUAAGACGUUCGUCACAGGAGAAUGCGCGCCCAUUUGUCGUCGCGAGCAGCUGCGUACAUAUUGUAGAAAGGGAAUAGAUACAAAAAUAGUUAUAUAGGCAGGUCGGGUUACGCGCGUUCAAACCCAACCCUCACAAUAACCACUAGUUAUAUGUGGAGGCGCAGUCACUCAGCCAUCAAAACCACUGAUAUAACCAGGUUAUUGCUGACAUGUGUUCAAUUUCAUGUUCAUAUGUACGGAGGUUCAUGUCAGAAGUUCUUGCCCACCAAGGCGCUAUAUAAUGCCACCAAUUUGAAUAUGUUCAAAUCUGCAGAUGAUAUUUUUGUUUCUCAUUAAAUUGUUUAUCAAGAUGGCUUCUAAUACUGAUAUUGCAACACAUUCUCUAGUGAUUACUCUUAAAUCUAUUGCUCAAAAGACCUUCCUUGAAAUAUCUGGCAGUAGUGACCUAGACUGGCUGUGUGACCAUGCAUGGGACUAGGACUAAAUUUUUCCUUAGUCCCAUUCUCAAAUAUCCUAGUCCUGGUCCCAUAUAGUGUUGAGUAAAUUAGUCACUUUACACUGUUUAUAUUAUAAAUCUAGUCCCAGAUCAUGUUUUACUUAUAAAUUAAUGAUUCUGGUCCCAUUUUGUAAAAACGGGACCAUGAUUUACCCUAUAUAGAUCGGCAGCGAUAGAUAGAUUGGCAGCGAUAGAUAGGUUGACAACAGUAGAUAGAUUGGCAGUGGUAGGUAGGUUGGCAGCAGUAGGGGAUAUUUAUUCUAAUAGUGAGCUUAGGGGCAUUGAGCAGGU
rnacentral:sRNA from 2 species